GUUUAUUUUUACUUGUCAAUUUUUUUCGCGUCACUGGGGUGUUUUUUUGAAUUCUCUCGUCUAAAAAGAAGGAUUUAGAUUUUACACAAUGCCAAAUAGGUGUUGUGUCCCUUAUUGCAACUCAGGCUACAAUUACAGAAAUCCCGUCGUAGGAAAAAUAACUUGUUUCAAGCCU